rnacentral:tRNA from 2 species
GGUUGACUAGUGUAAUGGUUAUCACAGCGGAUUCUGAUUCCGCUAAUCUGGGUUCGAUUCCCAGGUCGACCU